AACGAACGUUGGCGGCGUGGAUUAGGCAUGCAAGUCGAACGAAGCUAUUCUGUGUAGCAAUACAUGGGAUAGACUGAGUGGCGAAAGGGGCAGUAAUGCGUGGAUAACCUACCCCGGGGAUGGGGAUAGCCAUUCUAACGAGUGGGUAAUACCCGGCGAUGCAGCGAGAUCGCAUGGUUUUGCUGUGAAAUGAAUUUCGCCUCGGGAGGGGUUCACGUGCUAUUAGCUUGUUGGUGGGGUAACGGCCUACCAAGGCUAAGAUGGCUAGCGGGUAUGAGAGCACGACCCGCGCCACUGGCACUGAGACACUGGCCAGACUCCUACGGGAGGCUGCAGUCGAGGAUCUUCGGCAAUGGGCGCAAGCCUGACCGAGCGACGCCGCGUGCGCGAUGAAGGCCUUCGGGUUGUAAAGCGCUGUCGAGGGGGAGGAAGGCCCGUAAGGGUUUGACCUAUCCCUGGAGGAAGCACGGGCUAAGUUCGUGCCAGCAGCCGCGGUAAGACGAACCGUGCAAACGUUGUUCGGAAUCACUGGGCUUAAAGGGCGCGUAGGCGGGGGACCAAGUCCGGGGUGAAAUCUUUCGGCUCAACCGGAAAACUGCCUUGGAUACUGGUCUUCUUGAGGGAGGUAGGGGCAGGUGGAACUUCCGGUGGAGCGGUGAAAUGCGUUGAUAUCGGAAGGAACGCCGGUGGCGAAAGCGGCCUGCUGGAUCUCUUCUGACGCUGAAGCGCGAAAGCUAGGGUAGCGAACGGGAUUAGAUACCCCGGUAGUCCUAGCCCUAAACGAUGGGUACUAGGUUGCGGACCUGACAUGGGUUCGCAGCCGAAGCAAAAGUGUUAAGUACCCCGCCUGGGGAGUAUGGUCGCAAGGCUGAAACUCAAAGGAAUUGACGGGGGCUCACACAAGCGGUGGAGCAUGUGGCUUAAUUCGAGGCUACGCGAAGAACCUUAUCCUAGGCUUGACAUGUGCGAAAGCGGUAGGAAGUAGCUUGCGGAAACGUAAUGCCAACGGUAUCCAAUCCGGAACCUACUACAGGUGCUGCAUGGCUGUCGUCAGCUCGUGUCGUGAGAUGUUGGGUUAAGUCCCGCAACGAGCGCAACCCUUGUCAUUAAUUGCCAUCAUUCAGUUGGGCACUUUAAUGAGACUGCCGGUGACAAACCGGAGGAAGGUGGGGAUGACGUCAAGUCCUCAUGGCCCUUAUGGGUAGGGCUUCACACGUCAUACAAUGGUCGGUACAGAGGGUCGCCAACCCGCGAGGGGGAGCCAAUCCCACAAAGCCGAUCGUAGUCCGGAUCGCAGUCUGCAACUCGACUGCGUGAAGUCGGAAUCGCUAGUAAUCGUGGAUCAGCAUGUCACGGUGAAUACGUUCCCGGGUCU
rnacentral:rRNA from 1 species